AAAUCACAAUGCGGGACUAUUAGUCUUGCAAUUGGAUUGAGAACAACGUACAACUCUUAUCGAUAAGCCAUUGGAGGGCAAGUCUGGUGCCAGCAGCCGCGGUAAUUCCAGCUCCAAUAGCGUAUAUUAACGUUGUUGCAGUUAAAAAGCUCGUAGUUGAAGUGAGGGAGUGUGUGGGCAUAAGAGCUAGUCUCAAGUACUCACAACCUCCCCCCUCCAAUCGGUGUAGUGGGGUAUUCAGUUAUUCCACUACUCCUUUGGUCGUUUACUGUGAGAAAAUUAGAGUGUUCAAAGCGGGCGUUUGUUUGAAUAGAUUAGCAUGGAAUAAUGAUUGAAGGCUUUCGUGUUCGAUUUGAUUGGUUUGUUCAUGGAAGCAAGGUUAAAAGGAACAGUUGGGGGUAUUCAUAUUCACUAGUUAGAGGUGAAAUUCUCGGAUUUAUGGAAGAUGA
rnacentral:rRNA from 1 species